rnacentral:rRNA from 1 species
CCUACGGGAGUCAGCAGUGGGGAAUAUUGGGCAAUGGGCGCAAGCCUGACCCAGCAACGCCGCGUGAAGGAAGAAGGCUUUCGGGUUGUAAACUUCUUUUGUCAGGGAAGAGUAGAAGACGAUACCUGACGAAUAAGCCACGGCUAACUACGUGCCAGCAGCCGCGGUAAUACGUAGGUGGCAAGCGUUGUCCGGAUUUACUGGGUGUAAAGGGCGUGUAGCCGGGUUGACAAGUCAGAUGUGAAAUCCUGCGGCUUAACCGCAGAACUGCAUUUGAAACUGUUGAUCUUGAGUACUGGAGAGGCAGAUGGAAUUCCGAGUGUAGCGGUGAAAUGCGUAGAUAUUAGGAGGAACACCAGUGGCGAAGGCGGUCUGCUGGACAGCAACUGACGGUGAGGCGCGAAAGCGUGGGGAGCAAACAGGAUUAGAUACCCCAGUAGUC